rnacentral:tRNA from 1 species
GUUCAGGUAGCUAAGCCGAUUAGAGCAAAAGACUGAAAAUCAUUGUGUCAGUGGUUCGAAUCCACUUCUAACCA